rnacentral:tRNA from 1 species
UUGCAUGCAUGACGGCCUCUAUUGUUAGUCGGAAUCUCAGUCACCGUAGGUCGAUUCGUACCUCAGCUUGAAGGUUAAGGAUCAGCAGCCAUGUUGAUUGCUUGAUGGAGAUUCUUAGUUCCUAAACGUUGUUUAGGUCACACCCCUAAAUGCGAUGAGACUCCUGGGCCAUUAGCUCAGGUGGUUAGAGCGCACCCUGAUAAGGGUGAGGUCCCUGGUUCAAGUCCAGGAUGGCCCAUUCGGUGUUGGGGGUUUAGCUCAGUUGGUAGAGCGCUGCUUUGCAAGCAGGAUGUCAGGAGUUCGAGUCUCCUAACCUCCACUGACCGAACUUGAUUCCCAUCUCCAAUUUUUUGGAGUUGAGCUCGAUUGGCGUGCGAUUUAGAUGUGUCCGCUGGAUGACCCCAGCUUCCUGUCAUUCCAAGUUUUAGGCUGAAGCCUUGAAUUUGGUUGAUAAGAUGCUGGGCUCGGAUCAAAUAAUCAAGCAAUUGAUGAUUUGAUUUAAAGUUCUAGCAGAACCUUGACAACUGCAUAGGUGAGUCUGGAAAAAACAAAGCAUCUUACAGAUGCAUUGUUUUGAAUCUGAUCUUCUGAAAGGGAGAUUGGAUCUAGAACAAUGAAAAUUCUUUUGAGCAAGAGCCGAGACUCUUGAGCG